GUUUUUGAUGAAAACAAGAGGUUGCUCUCCACAGGAAGUUACAUGAUUAUAAUAACCAUAUGGCAACCAAAAAUGAAAAGAC
rnacentral:sRNA from 1 species